rnacentral:rRNA from 1 species
GAUGAACGCUGACAGAAUGCUUAACACAUGCAAGUCGACCUGAACUUCGGUUCGGUUGGCGGACGGGCGAGUAACGCGUAAAGAACUUGCCCCACAGCUAGGGACAACAUUUGGAAACGAAUGCUAAUACCAGAUAGUAUGAUAAUAUGGCAUCGUAUAUUUAUGAAAGCUAUAUGUGCUGUGAGAGGGCUUUGCGUCCCAUUAGCUAGUUGGAGAGGUAACAGCUCACCAAGGCGAUGAUGGGUGGCCGCCCUGGGAGGGUGAUCGGCCACAAGGGACCGGGGACAGGGCCAUUACGCCAACGGGGGCAAGCGGUGGGAAAUUUUCGACAAAGGACCGAGAGUGUGAUCCAGCAAUUCUGUGUGCAAGAUGAAGUUUUUCGGAAUGAAAAGAUCUUUCAGUUGAGAAGAAAAAAAUGACGGUACCAACUGAAGAAGUAACGGCUAACUACGUG